rnacentral:rRNA from 1 species
CCUGGCUCAGGAUGAACGCUGGCGGCGUGCUUACACAUGCAAGUCGAACGAAGCGCNAAACGGAUUUCUUCGGAUUGAAGUUUUUGCGACUGAGUGGCGGACGGGUGAGUAACGCGUGGGUAACCUGCCUCAUACAGGGGGAUAACAGUUAGAAAUGACUGCUAAUACCGCAUAAGCGCACAGUGCUGCAGGGCACAGUGUGAAAAACUCCGGUGGUAUGAGAUGGACUCGCGUCAGAUUAGAUAGUUGGUGAGGUAACGGCUCACCAAGCCUUCGAUGGAUAGGGGUUCUGAGAGGAAGGUCCCCCACAUUGGAACUGAGACACGGUCCAAACUCCUACGGGAGGCAGCAGUGAGGAAUAUUGGUCAAUGGGCGUUAGCCUGAACCAGCCAAGUAGCGUGAAGGAUGAAGGCUCUAUGGGUCGUAAACUUCUUUUAUAUAAGAAUAAAGUGCAGUAUGUAUACUGUUUUGUAUGUAUUAUAUGAAUAAGGAUCGGCUAACUCCGUGCCAGCAGCCGCGGUAAUACGGAGGAUCCGAGCGUUAUCCGGAUUUAUUGGGUUAAAGGGAGC